rnacentral:tRNA from 1 species
GGGUUUGUCGGCAUAAGAGCAUCACUCUGAUAAGGGUGAGGUCGGUGGUUCGAGUCCACCCAGACCCACCA